rnacentral:rRNA from 1 species
GACGAACGCUGGCGGCGUGCUUAACACAUGCAAGUCGAACGGUGAAGCGCCUUCCUUUUUGGUGGGUGUGGAUGAGUGGCGAACGGGUGAGUAACACGUGAGUAACCUGCCCCCUUCUUCUGGAUAACCGCAUGAAAGUGUGGCUAAUACGGGAUAUUCUGGGUCUGUCGCAUGAUGGGUCUGGGAAAGAUAUUGUUUCGGUGGGGGAUGGGCUCGCGGCCUAUCAGCUUGUUGGGGGGGUGAUGGCCUACCAAGGCGGUGACGGGUAGCCGGCCUGAGAGGGUGGACGGUCACACUGGGACUGAGACACGGCCCAGACUCCUACGGGAGGCAACAGUGGGGAAUAUUGCACAAUGGGCGCAAGCCUGAUGCAGCGACGCCGCGUGAGGGAUGGAGGCCUUCGGGUUGUGAACCUCUUUCGCCAGUGAAGCAGGCCUGCCUCGUUUGUGGGUGGGUUGACGGUAGCUGGAUAAGAAGCGCCGGCUAACUACGUG